UGCCCAGGAAGGGGCAGCAGAGCAGCGGGUGACAAGGGAUGCUGGGGCGUUCUGUGGGGCCACAAUGAGAGGACGAGGACACCUGCAACUGGGUGUUUGCAUCUACUUUGUUCUGAAAAGCCUGGAGAUGUCUGUAAGAGUGCAAGCGUGACUAUAGGGAAGAUGUAUCUGGAGAAUCACAGCCACCGAAGUCAGGGAGACAUUCCUGGUUUCAUCUGUGUUUUGGUGGACAUUCAGGAUCCACCAGUGCUGGCAUCAGCACCUGCACCGGCACCAACACCUCUUCCACUGCCUGCCCUGGGCCAGCCAGACGGUCCAGUGCAAGGCACCCAGAGCCAUUGGGCAGCUUCCCCACUUGGGGAACCAGAGGCAGAUUCCAAAGUUCUGCCUCUAGGCCAUGAGGCCCGUGGAUGACCAUGGAAACCAACCCCACCAUUAUUACCUUUCAAGAUGGCUGACCUUUAUAACUGGAGAACCCAGAAUGCUAAUUUUUCUGAGAAUCCAGGAGACCUAAUCAAUCUUUUUGAAACUGUGCUCUUUACUCAUCAGCCCACUUGGGAUGAUUGCCAACAGCUCUUACAGGUUCUUUUCACCACAGAAGAGAAGGAAUGUAUCCUUCUGGAAGCCCGGAAAAAUGUCCCAGGGAACACUGGUGUUCUGACCCAGAAUCCAGCUGACAUUGAUGCUGGAUUUCCUCUUAUCUGACCCACCUGGGAUUACAAUACAGCUGAAGGUAAGGGGUGCCUGUUGGGAUCUGUAAGCAGGCAUCUCUACAGCCAGCCCUGAGGGACUUGACAAAUGGAACAUCAGGCAUCUGUGAGGCCACCUAUGGACCACCUGCAUACCACCUAAAACCAGCUGUGCAUGCUCUGGGUCACCUUAUCAAGAGAACUCACACCACCACCACCACUCUUCUCUUCCCUACCCAGAGACGGUUUCUGCGACCCCUUCCCUUAAUAAACCUCCCACGUGGAACCAGUCAUGUGGCAUGAUUUGUGAACCCGCCGUGUCACUUUGCUGCACAAUCCUGGCCAAAA